rnacentral:rRNA from 1 species
UGGGGAAUUUUGGACAAUGGGCGAAAGCCUGAUCCAGCCAUGCCGCGUGAGUGAAGAAGGCCUUCGGGUUGUAAAGCUCUUUUAGUCGGAAAGAAAGAGUUGCAAUGAAUAAUUGUGAUUUAUGACGGUACCGACAGAAAAAGCACCGGCUAACUACGUGCCAGCAGCCGCGGUAAUACGUAGGGUGCGAGCGUUAAUCGGAAUUACUGGGCGUAAAGGGUGCGCAGGCGGUCUUGCAAGUCAGAUGUGAAAGCCCCGGGCUUAACCAGGGAAUUGCGUUUGAAACUACAAGGCUAGAGUGCAGCAGAGGGGAGUGGAAUUCCAUGUGUAGCAGUGAAAUGCGUAGAGAUGUGGAAGAACACCGAUGGCGAAGGCAGCUCCCUGGGUUGACACUGACGCUCAUGCACGAAAGCGUGGGGAGCAAACA